rnacentral:rRNA from 1 species
AUUGAACGCUGGCGGCAGGCCUAACACAUGCAAGUCGAGCGAGCGGCGGACGGGUGAGUAAUGUAUGGGGACUGCCCGAUAGAGGGGGAUAACUCCUGGAAACGGUGGCUAAUACCGCAUACUGUAGGAUACCCCAUAUGGGAUUAGCUAGUAGGUAAGGUAUUGGCUUACCGAGGCAACGAUCCCUAGCUGGUCUGAGAGGAUGAUCAGCCAAACUGGGACUGAGACACGGCCCAGACUCCUACGGAGGCAGCAGUGGGGAAUAUUGCACAAUGGGCGCAAGCCUGAUACAGCCAUGCCGCGUGUAUGAAGAAGGCCCUAGGGUUGUAAAGUACUUUCAGUCGGGAGGCGUUACCUACAGAAGAAGCACCGGCUAACUCCGUGCCAGCAGCCGCGGUAAUAC